ensembl:lncRNA
AGGGGACUGAGGAGACACAAAGCAAACAAUGUCUCUGAGCUCCAUGUCAUCUGGAUGAGAAAACAGAUCCACCACCGCCUCAGAAUACAGAAGAAGAAAGAUACACAGGCUUGAAACUUCAUGUGAAUCAAUGAGUGAGUAAAUAAUGACAGAAUUUUCAUUUUUGGAUCAACCAUUCCUUUAAUCACAUAAUUGAUGAAUACCAGGCAGUUUUCUCCUCUCUGUUGUCCAUUAUGAGAGUCACUAUAAAUGUGUUCCUAAUAAAGGAGUUAAUCUGCGAGCAUAUUUUAUGUCGUUGGGAGAAAGUCACUGCGUAAUAUGAUGUGGUUUGGGCUGUAGCACUCAUCCAUAUUUCACUAAGACCACUGGGAAUUGUGUGCUAUGAAUCCCGUAACAGUGUCCUUUUAACACAAUUUCAACCACAACAAGAUGCACUAGGCAAAAAAUGAAGUUUCUCAAUCACUUUACAUAAGGCAGAAUCCAUGUAAUCUAUGAGUAUUGCACAGCUUCGUUUGCAGAAUGGGAAUAAUGUGCGUCUGUUUUCCUUUUUUCCCCGUCAGGCCUUAUCUUUCCAGAAUCAAUUCAUUAUUUGAAGCUUAUUUGAAAAAGCCCACUGCAUCAUCAAUGAAGAAAGGGUGUGCUGACAAUUGCAUUAAUUACUUUAUCUAAAUCAUUUCCAAUUAACCUUACACACCACCUUACAAAUAGAGUCUUGCCAGGCCACCCUGAAUGACGCCGUCUCCUAAAGACAGACAGAUUUUUUUUUUUUUUUUUAAGGGGAGAGAAGAAGAGAGAAUUUAGAGUAGGGGAAUUUCGGGCAGGCACAGAUAAGACUGCCACUUAGUCUGAGGGCUCUUCCUUUCAAGACUACACAUUACAUUUUGGUUAAUUAAUUUCACAUUGAUAUAUGGUUUAAUUUAACACUGAUUGUCAUGUUCUGGGUAUAGGGUUUGCUCAUUUUACAAAUUAGAUUUCAGGUGUAUUUAGAAAAUAAUGCUGAUCGUCAAAGUAACAUGGGAGGAGAUGUCUUCUGUGCUGUCCUGUGAGGAGAAACAAAGCCUACAUUUUAUCACUUCUUUUUAAAUAUCCAAUAAUGUUCUUUAAAAAAUGUACAUUUGACAUUACAUAUACAAAAUGUAACUAUUACAGUUAAAAAUGUAUUGAUCAGUCAUUUGGCAAAGUGAAAAUGAAGUAUGGUGUGAAUUUCAUUUUAUGUGUCUAGUUUCAGUGAGUUCAUUGACGCUGUUGGUGAUCGCCGAGGAGGAAAAACACAGUCUAUGCUGGAACUUUAAAUGUUAAUUAUAAUGCUGGCAGAAGAACUGAGAAGUUCGGAGCUUAAUGAUAAAUAAAAUGCAGCUGCAGUGAAGACUGUGUCUAGACUGUUACUAAAACAGCAAGACUUUCACAGGAAGAGAAAGAGUAAAACAAUACAGUUGUAAAGGAAGGAGAGACUAAGCAAGCAUGAUAAGGAAAGAGAAGAUUACUACUUAAAAUAAAUUAAAUGUAUUUUUGAUGAUCAUUUUCAAAUUAACAAUUUAAUUUCAUGUAAUUAAAUUUUUAAUAACAAUUAAAUCCACAAAUUAGAUGAUUUUUAUUUUUUUAUUUUUUAAAAUGCUAUAAUCUGCCUUAAGACUUUCUUUUCCUCUCGUAAACAGAAGAACAAACUUUUGCCUCCAGUAUAAUAAAUACAUUUCCUGCAGUGCCAAAAGUAUGUACAAUAACAAGUAAGACUUGAUAUCUAACAUGCAAAUACACUUGUGUGCACAUUAACCAUCUCUUUAUUAAACAUGAGGCAAAGUUUCAUACCUGUUUUUGGAUGUAAUUAUAUAAAGAAAAAAAAAGUGUAUGUGUUGGGGGGUGAGUGGGUGGUUAUUUAUUUAUUUAUCUCAGAGCUCAUGGUCUCUCAUGGAAAAAGGGGGGAAAAACAGCCCCACUCUCCUCUCUUUUUGAUGUGUUUGCCUUCACGGCUUCUGAGCGCUCUCUAAUUCCAUCUGGCCACAACAGAGGCGGUGGAAUGGCACGAAAAAGCAUUUCCAUAUGUGCAAAUUAGGAGGCUGCCUUCCUAAAACUGCAGCGCCAUUCCUCUGAAGUAGAUAGCACUGCGGAGAGCUGCCAAGUCCUCUAAUGGCAAUCAAGAGGAGAGUUCUUAUUGGCCUGUGUCUACCUCGGGUUACAAUAGUGCAUUUUCAUCCUGCAAUUCCAGGUGUGUUUUAAAAUGUAGUAACAACAGGGUAAAAAGAAAAAAAAAUACUAGGAAAGAUUUUUAUUUGUAUACACAUU